GUCAUCAGUCCCGAUUUCCCCUCACCCAAUGGUGCUUUUUCUUGAUCAACCCACAUUAAUUCUCCUCUAGGGUUAAGCCGGAGUCAGAUUUUCUUUAAUUGCAGGGAAAGAUGAGAAGAAAAGGUGGGGUUGAGAUGUUCUUGUUCCUGUGGCAGCAGUGGUAAUCUGAUCAGAUCAUCAUCAGGCCCAAUAUGCUUCUAGGGAUUGGCAAAUCCCCACCCACUAUAAAUACCAUCCCAAGAUCAUCCUUCUCUUCCAACUCCAUCCUCUCUCUCCUCUCUCUUUCUCUGCCUCUCCUUUUGCCUAUUCACUUUCUUUUCGACCAGACACUUUCUGUUGCUCUCUUUUGAUUGAUGGGGUUCGGUUCAUAAGAAUCUCUUCUCCUUCUCUUUUUUCUUCUCUCUCUUGGAGCCUUGAUGGGUUUGUCGUGGAAUGGCCCUGUUUGUGUUCUUCCACAGCUUUCUUGAACUGCAUGGUUAUAAUUGGAGAGAUGUGAGGAGAAUUAGAGGAGACCCAUCUUCUCUUUUUUCUUUUUUCUUGUCCUCUUCUUCUUGUGCGGUUCAAUAAAGCUGUGGGAAGAUGCAGAGAGGGUCAAGAAGAAAAAAAGGCACAGAUGUUCUUGUGCAGGAUCUGUGUGAUUUCUUGAGAUUUUUUUUGUGCGGUUACACAUGCUUUUGUUUUGCAUCUGCAACUUCAUGGAUUACGGUCAGUAUGUUCAGCACUGUGGGAAAGACAAACUAGUUAAAUGACUCAUCAGUCCAUGGCCAUCAGUCAAAAUCUUUAUGUGAAGAUGAAAGUGGCCAAAUUCUUUUGAAUUUUAAUGAAGUUCCUUGCCAUUUGAAAUGGUUGAGCCGUGCAUGGUCUUGCCAAUGUGGAGCGAGAUGAUAUCCCCAUUUUACCUUUCUGGUUUUCGUCACGAAGCAGAUCAAUUUCAGUUUCACUUUUUUGCUCCCUGAAUUCAUUAGUUUUGUCUCAUUGACCAUGUCUGAUUAAUCACCCUGCCUGAAAUCAUAUCUUGGAAUAUUUAGGUCAAGAUUUGUUCAGAUGGGAGUUUAAUUGUUUAGCUAAUCUUAAGUCGCAGUCUGUUUUGAAAUGCCACAAUUCUUUA